GGUAAGGAGCUGGUGCUACCCUGUUCUCCUUUGUUCUCCUGACCCCUGAGAAUUCUGGGAAAGUGGUUCACACUGUAAAAGUGCUGACAAUGGGUGUUCCCACUGUUCCUGUGACAGAGAGCCCAGGCUUCAGCUGCUGAAGAAGAACUCAGACCUAACCCUCCAGGGCGGGACCUUUAAUUUGGCACAGAGUUGGUCCUUAGCCAAAUAAAAAUUGAAAAGGGGAGAUUUUAAAUUUUCAUCUAAUUAAGACUUUAUAUAAUGGAUCUUUUUCUUAUUGUGGCAACAAGAGGAGA
rnacentral:lncRNA from 1 species